UGGUUCUGGCAUCGAUGAAGAACGCAGCGAAAUGCGAUAAGUAAUGUGAAUUGCAGAAUUCAGUGAAUCAUCGAAUCUUUGAACGCACAUUGCGCCCCUUGGUAUUCCGAGGGGCAUGCCUGUUCGAGCGUCAUCGCACCCCUCAAGCCCAGCUUGGUGUUGGGCGUCGCCGUAUUGCGGCGCGCCUUAAAGCGAGUGGCAGCGCCUCCGUAGCCCUGAGCGUAGUAAAAUCUCCUCGCUACAGGGACUCGGGAACGCUCGCCGUAACCCAACUUUCUAGUUUUGACCUCGGAUCAGGUAGGGAUACCCGCUGA
rnacentral:misc_RNA from 1 species